UACGUAGGGGGCUAGCGUUGUCCGGAAUCAUUGGGCGUAAAGAGCGUGUAGGCGGCUCGGUAAGUCCGCUCUGAAAGCCCGGGGCUCAACCCCGGGAGGCGGGCGGAUACUGUCGGGCUAGAGUCCGGAAGAGGCGAGUGGAAUUCCUGGUGUAGCGGUGAAAUGCGCAGAUAUCAGGAGGAACACCAAUAGCGAAGGCAGCUCGCUGGGACGGUACUGACGCUCAGGCACGAAAGCGUGGGGAGCAAACAGG
rnacentral:rRNA from 1 species